rnacentral:rRNA from 1 species
CCAUGCAUGUCUAAGUUUAAGGUGUGUUAUUGCAAUUAGAGUGAUUUCGGUCAUUGUGGUUGUAAUUCUAUCACUUCUGAAACUGCAUAUGGCUCAUUAAAUCGGUGGUAAACUCUCACAAAGCAUAACUUGCUGAUAAUAUGGUUUCGGUCAUAUUGUUAGUAUAAUUAAAUGGAUAUCUGUGGGAAUUCUAGAGCUAAUACAUGAGCCUUCAAUUGAUGAAGGUAUUAUUAUUGAUAAUUUAUUAUUGAUAAUAAAGCACGUUCGUCAUUUAUAUUCAUCUAAAGGCCUUAUACUGGUUCUAGUUAUUAUUUCGGUAAUAAAUAGGAUCAUUAUUCGGUUGAAUCCAGACGAACUCAAUAGAAUUGUAGAUCGCAUAAAGCCUUGUGAUUCAAAUCCCAAGUCAGGCGAUAUUUUGUAGGGGCUUCCGACUCAUCAGCUUAUGUUGGUAAAUUAUUGGUUUACCAAGGCGUUGACGGGUAACGGAGGAUUGGGGUUUGAUCCCGGAGAGGGAGCCUGAGAAAUGGCUACCACUUCUAAGGAAGGCAGCAGGCGCGCAAAUUACCCAAUGUCAAAUCGAUGAGGUAGUGACGAUCAAUAACGACGUGGACUCUCAAUUGAGGGUCCACGAUCGGAAUGAGCUCUCCCUAGAUUAUUGAGCGAGUAACAAUCGGAGGAAAAGUCUGGUGCCAGCACCCGCGGUAAUUCCAGCUCCGAUAGCAUAUAUUAAAGUUGUUGCAGUUAAAAAGCUCGUAGUUGAUUUUGAGUGCAAUGAUUAUAAGCUCUUGGUUUAAAUAGUAGUAUAUUGGUUUAUAGAAAUAUAAGUUAGUAUAUUAUUAUUGGUCAAGUUGAUUAUAGUCAAUAAAUGGUUUAUGUUUUCUUCGGUACGUUACCGCGAGUAAUGUUAUCGAGACCAAGCACAAGAUUAUUAUUAUUAUUUUUUAUUAUCUUCGGGUAAUAAAGAUUGAUAAUAGUGAUUUACACCUGGAGUAAAUUAGGGUGUUCAAAGCAGGUGGCUCUUAUGAGCGCCUUGAAUAGUUCAGCGUGGUAUGUUAAUUAACCUUUAUUGGAUCCCAAUACCUAAUAACUGGUGUUGUAAUAGCAAUAUUACAAAGGUCUUUAGGGGGUAGUUAACGCUUUCAAGCGUUUUUUCUUUAUUAGUUGUUUCGGCAAUUAGUAAAGGAUGGGAAUGAUUGAUGAGGGUGGUCGGUGGUGUUGGUAUUUGGUUGUCAGAGGUGAAAUUCUUGGACCAACCAAAGACUAUCAUCAGCGAAAGCAUUCACCAAGUACACUCUUGUUCAAUCAAGAACAAAAGUUAGGGGAUCGAAGAUGAUCAGAUACCGUCGUAGUCCUAACCGCAAACGUUGCCGACCAGGGAUCGGAAGAUGUCACAUUGAUGGCUCUUCCGGAACCCCUAGGGAAACCCUGAGUCUUUGGGUUCCGGGGGGAGUAUGGUCGCAAGGCUGAAACUUAAAGGAAAUUGACGGAAGGGCACCACCAGGAGUGGGGUUUGCGGCUUAAUUCGACUCAACACGGGAAACCUUACCAGGUCCAGACUCUGUAAGGAUUGACAGAUUAAUGGAACUUUCUUGAUCCUGAGGGUGGUGGUGCAUGGCCGUUCUUGGUUGGUGGAGCGAUUCGUCUGGUCAAUUCCGUUAACGAACGAGACCUCGACCCCUCAAAUAGUAUUGAUUAUUCUACCGCUAACAAAGUCAGGUUAAUUAUUCAAGGUUAGAUUAAUUGUUAUUUGGUGGUUUAUUAGUUAUUAUUUUAUUGUUUUACGACAGUAAGGUAGUAGUUGGUGAAUUAUUCAAGUAAUGGUUGGUUUGAUUUUAAUUGAUCCCUUUGGUCGAAUAAUCAACAAAUCUUAUUAUUGUUGCAAAACAAUAGUAAGAAUAUGCUUCUUAGAGGGACGGCUCGCGAUCAGCGAGAGGAAGCUUGAGGCAAUAACAGGUCUGUGAUGCCCUUUAGAUGUUCUGGACCGCACGCGCACCACACUGAUGGUAAUUCCAACAAGCGAGCUAUUUAUCAGUAAAAAACAAUUAGAUAAUCUUUAAUAAUUAAAUACUUUCUGAGUAAUUAAAUAUUAAUAAUUAUUUAUUGUUUAUGCGUCCCUUGGCUACGAAAGGUCUUGGGAAUCUCGAAUAAUCAUCGUGAUGGGGAUAGAUCAUUGCAAUUAUUGUUCUUCAACGAGGAAUUCCUAGUAGGCAUGAGUCAUCAACUCGUGCCGAUUACGUCCCUGCCCUUUGUACACACCGCCCGUCGCUCCUACCGAUCGAACGUCCGGGCAAAGUCCUCGGAGUAUUAAGAUAGUAAUGGCUUGCUAUUACGAUUCAUAGUACAAAGUUGAUUAAACCUCGUCGUUUAGAGAA